ACCUGCAGCCCGAGUGGUGCUCGUUAUUAUUGGGUCUAAAUCGUCCGUAGUCGGCUGAGUAGAUGCCUGGGUAAAUCGAGGCGCUCAACGUCUCGAAUUCCAGGUAGACCGCUCGGCUAGGGAUCGGGAGAGGUGCAAGGUACUCCGGGGGUAGGGGUAAAAUCCUGUAAUCCUCGGGGGACCACCAGUGGCGAAGGCGUUGCACUAGAACGAGUCCGACGAUCAGGGACGAAGCCCUGGGGCGCAAACGGGA
rnacentral:rRNA from 1 species